ACAUUCAUGUCCAGAAAAAAACUCAAUAAAACAUCUUACCAAUUUAUUUAUUCAAGUAAUUAUAGUUUGAUGAAAUAAACUGAUUAUUUACAGAGUAAUGGUGCACAAAUAACAUGAAAUUAACAAACUUACAACUAGCACAUAACAUUAUCACUUUCUACUAUGGUUGAACUUACAUGUUUAAUAGGAAAAGGAUUUUAGAAUCAAGAAUAUUAAGAAAUAUAUCACUACUUAGGGUGGUAUUCCACCUGUUUCUUUGUCCAAUGUAUAUUUGCAUAUCACAUGUUGCUUAGUGAGAGAGUGAGACGCAAUACACAUUGGACAGGUGGAAUACCAACCUUAUAUGUAAAACUUUGCACACAAUAAGAAAUAAAACUGGAAAUAACAUGAGUUACAAGUUUAUGAAAUGUACUUUAGAAAAGUGUACCAAAAUAAAAUCUUAGAACACAUUUAUAGUAGUUGUUAAGUUAUCCCUAAGCAUGAUAUUGAUAUUUACAGUGACACAAUGUAUAGGUAUACAAUCAUAACAGUAUUAAAAGAGGAUGAUACGACACGCUCCAAGCUGACUCACAAUAAUUAUAAAUAAUGCGUCACUUCACAACGUGACUAUCUCGUACACUACAGAGGUUCUACGUAUUUCCUGGAACGCUCCGCGUAACUUGCUUUUGGAUUUUGAACCUAUUGUACAUACUCAGAAAGAUGCAAUUAGUUUUCUAUGCACUAACAGAAACACACUUAACUGACCAGAAGUAUGUCUUAUCUCUUUGCAAUACGGUUUAUAAAUGAUCAGUUAAUUGUUACAGGGACACGACAGGUUUAAAAGGGCUAGCUCAAGAUUUGAUUAGACAUUUCGCGCCAGCUCUUUACAAAACAAACAUUAGUAAAACAUUAAAACAUGUAUUUACUUAAAAAAUUACCUAUCAAUGUGGCUAGUAUAUUUAUGUUGUGUUGUGGGUCCUGUGGUUCAUCUCUAGUAAAACCUGAGCAACACCAGUCAUCAUGUGGCAAGUAGUCCAUAUAAGCAGUACAGAAUUAUUCAUUUAAAAA